CACUGUAGAAGUUGGACUGACGUCCAUUAUCGAUUUCGUCUGUUGCGGUCUGUUGUUUUAUGUUGGUGCUGCGGUGGUGGCUUUUUUUAGUGAAGACUAAACACGAGAUAUAAAUUUGGAGGGGAGACUAGGUUACGAAAAAAUGUGAAAGGUGUAUGAAGACAGUACCGACAACUAUUGUGUUAAAAAUCCUGGUAUCCUACAGAAUAUGUCAUCCAAAUGACAGAGUGGAUUCAUCACUAUUAUCGGCUGAAUCAUUCUAUGGGACUUGCCAGAUCACCAACCCAAGCAUGGACCAAUUUCUCAUUCCAUCUUCUAGAGAACCUUACAUAACCGAUUGGUGGUUUA